rnacentral:lncRNA from 1 species
UACGUAAGAGCUAUUCACAACUCAUGAGUCAAACAGUUACUGAACGAAAAUAUGCACUUAAUAUGAUGAUUCAAGAGAGAAUGUCGGUUUCUGUGUUUGCUGAUUUGUCCUCUAAAACUAUAGUUCAUGUUCUGGAUUUAUUUCGAGCGAUGAUUUAACUCUUUGUAUUUUUCUAUCUUUUUACAGACAAAGAGGAAUACUUUUGGCAAAGUUUAUUAUAUGAUAUGCGUUUUGCUUUAAGAUAAAAGGGACGAAAGAUACCAA